rnacentral:rRNA from 1 species
CAUAGGUUAAUGAGGCGAACCGGGGGAACUGAAACAUCUAAGUACCCCGAGGAAAAGAAAUCAACCGAGAUUCCCCCAGUAGCGGCGAGCGAACGGGGAGCAGCCCAGAGCCUGAAUCAGUGUGUGUGUUAGUGGAAGCGUCUGGAAAGGCGCGCGAUACAGGGUGACAGCCCCGUACACAAAAAUGCACAUGCUGUGAGCUCGAUGAGUAGGGCGGGACACGUGGUAUCCUGUCUGAAUAUGGGGGGACCAUCCUCCAAGGCUAAAUACUCCUGACUGACCGAUAGUGAACCAGUACCGUGAGGGAAAGGCGAAAAGAACCCCGGCGAGGGGAGUGAAAAAGAACCUGAAACCGUGUACGUACAAGCAGUGGGAGCACGCUUAGGCGUGUGACUGCGUACCUUUUGUAUAAUGGGUCAGCGACUUAUAUUCUGUAGCAAGGUUAACCGAAUAGGGGAGCCGAAGGGAAACCGAGUCUUAACUGGGCGUUAAGUUGCAGGGUAUAGACCCGAAACCCGGUGAUCUAGCCAUGGGCAGGUUGAAGGUUGGGUAACACUAACUGGAGGACCGAACCGACUAAUGUUGAAAAAUUAGCGGAUGACUUGUGGCUGGGGGUGAAAGGCCAAUCAAACCGGGAGAUAGCUGGUUCUCCCCGAAAGCUAUUUAGGUAGCGCCUCGUGAAUUCAUCUCCGGGGGUAGAGCACUGUUUCGGCAAGGGGGUCAUCCCGACUUACCAACCCGAUGCAAACUGCGAAUACCGGAGAAUGUUAUCACGGGAGACACACGGCGGGUGCUAACGUCCGUCGUGAAGAGGGAAACAACCCAGACCGCCAGCUAAGGUCCCAAAGUCAUGGUUAAGUGGGAAACGAUGUGGGAAGGCCCAGACAGCCAGGAUGUUGGCUUAGAAGCAGCCAUCAUUUAAAGAAAGCGUAAUAGCUCACUGGUCGAGUCGGCCUGCGCGGAAGAUGUAACGGGGCUAAAC